rnacentral:lncRNA from 1 species
GUGGAGAUACAGAGUCUGAAGAUGGUUAGCAAUUGGAGUGCUAGCAUGAAACUUAGGGAUAAAGUUAACAUAAUGACAUGGUUAAUAGUUUUAAAAUCAUUCAAAACUGAUGCACAUAAUCAAAUGCAUAUAUAUAUAUUACAUAUCGAGAUAAGGAACAAAGCUUAACAUGUGCUUUAAAACUUUAGCCUAGAUUGUGUAGCUCAACCGUCAUAACAUAUACCCACGGGCUAUGUGGGCCCCAGUUCUCACCCCUUGGUC